rnacentral:tRNA from 1 species
GGGCGUUUAGCUCAGCUGGUUCAGAGCAUCUGCCUUACAAGCAGAGGGUCGGGAGUUCAAAUCUCUCAACGCCCA